rnacentral:rRNA from 1 species
ACGAACGCUGGCGGCGUGCUUAACACAUGCAAGUCGAACGGUGAAGCUCCAGCUUGCUGGAGUGGAUCAGUGGCGAACGGGUGAGUAACACGUGAGCAACCUGCCCCUGACUCUGGAAUAAGCGCUGGAAACGGCGUCUAAUACUGGAUAUGAGAAGGGUCCGCAUGGACACUUUCUGGAAAGUUUUUCGGUUGGGGAUGGGCUCGCGGCCUAUCAGCUUGUUGGUGAGGUAAUGGCUCACCAAGGCGACGACGGGUAGCCGGCCUGAGAGGGCGACCGGCCACACUGGGACUGAGACACGGCCCAGACUCCUACGGGAGGCAGCAGUGGGGAAUAUUGCACAAUGGGCGAAAGCCUGAUGCAGCGACGCCGCGUGAGGGAUGACGGCCUUCGGGUUGUAAACCUCUUUCAGCAGGGAAGAAGCGAAAGUGACGGUACCUGCAGAAGAAGCACCGGCUAACUACGUG